CCCUUCGGGGAAAAAGGCGUGUGUCUAUGUAUGUACAUACAUACAUAGACACACGCCUUUUUCCCCGAAGGG
rfam:Operophtera brumata OBRT01_Sc03299, whole genome shotgun sequence.